rnacentral:rRNA from 1 species
GGUUUCGAUGCCCUUAGUGCCGAAGUUAACACAUUAAGCACUCCGCCUGGGGAGUACGGCCGCAAGGCUGAAACUCAAAGGAAUUGACGGGGGCCCGCACAAGCGGUGGAGCAUGUGGUUUAAUUCGAAGCAACGCGAAGAACCUUACCAGGUCUUGACAUCCCGAUGACCGCUCUGGAGACAGAGUUUCCCCUUCGGGGGUAUCGGUGACAGGUGGUGCAUGGUUGUCGUCAGCUCGUGUCGUGAGAUGUUGGGUUAAGUCCCGCAACGAGCGCAACCCUUGACCUUAGUUGCCAGCAUUUAGUUGGGCACUCUAAGGUGACUGCCGGUGACAAACCGGAGGAAGGUGGGGAUGACGUCAAAUCAUCAUGCCCCUUAUGACCUGGGCUACACACGUGCUACAAUGGAUGGUACAAAGGGCAGCGAAGCCGCGAGGUGGAGCCAAUCCCAUAAAGCCAUUCUCAGUUCGGAUUGUAGGCUGCAACUCGCCUACAUGAAGCCGGAAUCGCUAGUAAUCGCGGAUCAGCAUGCCGCGGUGAUACGUUCCCGGGCU